CGGUGUGAUAUUUAUCAUAAAUAAAACCUUAUUAAAUUUAAGAGUUUAAGGUCUCUGAUGAUACUAUCAAAUUUGUAUUCAGCUAUUUAUAAUGAUAUCUGUUUGUCUAGUAGGAAAUGCCAUUAAUAUGUGUGUAUGACUGUAAGUGUUUUGUGAAAGUAAUGCGUGCAUAAGGUCAUCCGAGGGAGGAGUCCGAGAUGCCAGACUUUUGGGUUUGCAGCGUUGAUACGUUUGUUUUAAAAUGGUUACUAGAGUGUCGAGAGAUUAACUUUAUUCAUGUAAACUUUCAAUUUUGGAAAUUAAUAUAUAUUGUAUUUUUUUAUAACACAUAAAUUUAGUAAAUUUUUGUUUUGGGGGCGGGAUGUUAUAUAUCAGUAUGUAUGGUCAGAUUAUGUUUCUGUAUGCAAGAGAGAGUUGUUCCCCUUUUGUCAGUAUUUUGUAUUUAUGUUUGUGACGUCAUCUUUGUCUGAUUAAAAU
rnacentral:lncRNA from 1 species